AGAUUGAACGCUGGCGGCAGGCCUAACACAUGCAAGUCGAGCGGCAGCACGGGUACUUGUACCUGGUGGCGAGCGGCGGACGGGUGAGUAAUGCCUAGGAAUCUGCCUGGUAGUGGGGGAUAACGCUCGGAAACGGACGCUAAUACCGCAUAACGCCCUACGGGAGAAAGCAGGGGACCUUCGGGCCUUGCGCUAUCAGAUGAGCCUAGGUCGGAUUAGCUA
rnacentral:rRNA from 1 species